UAUGAACGCUGGCGGCGUGCCUAAUACAUGCAAGUCGAGCGAACAGACGAGGAGCUUGCUCCUCUGACGUUAGCGGCGGACGGGUGAGUAACACGUGGAUAACCUACCUAUAAGACUGGGAUAACUUCGGGAAACCGGAGCUAAUACCGGAUAAUAUAUUGAACCGCAUGGUUCAAUAGUGAAAGACGGUUUUGCUGUCACUUAUAGAUGGAUCCGCGCCGCAUUAGCUAGUUGGUAAGGUAACGGCUUACCAAGGCAACGAUGCGUAGCCGACCUGAGAGGGUGAUCGGCCACACUGGAACUGAGACCCGGUCCAGACUCCUACGGGAGGCAGCAGUAGGGAAUCUUCCGCAAUGGGCGAAAGCCUGACGGAGCAACGCCGCGUGAGUGAUGAAGGUCUUCGGAUCGUAAAACUCUGUUAUUAGGGAAGAACAAAUGUGUAAGUAACUAUGCACGUCUUGACGGUACCAAAUCAGAAAGCCACGGCUAACUACG
rnacentral:rRNA from 1 species